ACAGCAUGGGUAACAAACAGCAAGAGCUGGAGGCCAUGGUCCAGCAGCAGAGCUGUGAUGUCAUUGCCAUCACAGAAACGUGGUGGGAUGCCUCACAUGGCUGGAGCACUACACUGGAUGGCUACAAGCUCUUCAGGAGAGACAGGAAAGGGAGAAGAGGUGAAGCUGAACCUGCUGGUGAAGGUGGUGCAGCUUCCCAAGCCACAUCCAGGACUGAGGCUCUGGGAGAUGCUGAGGGUGUGUCUCCUGGGAGGACUUCUCCAGCUCCUUUGCUGAUUCCUACAGAGAAGCCUGCCUCCCAUCGCAGGGGU